CACCCUCUACGGGUGUUCCUGAUGACCGUUAGGAAGUUUUUCUGCACUUCGCCGGUUCACGGAGGGAAGUCGUGAGUUGCUUGACGGUCAUUUGUAAAUAAACCGGAUCCGCGCAUCUUCAAUUGCGCAAGGAUGACAGACACGGUGUCCUUGAGGACACUCUCUCCCAGGAGGAGAGGGAGUUUCAGAGGAUUAUCGCACAAAUCGGAGGUAAAGAGAGGAUUUAUUUGGUGGGUGACGCGUGUGAAAGUAAAGAGGUAGACGGGGAUGGCGGUGGAACAUUGCAGGAGUUCAUCCGGGACAUGUUUCCUGGCAGCCUGGCCAGCAGCAACGGGCAUCCCGCGUCCCUCUCUGUCAAGUAUCCACGUCGGCAACGCAGGUGAAAUUUGCAGCGAGAAAGAGACUGGGAAAACAUUGACAUGCCUCUCACAACAAGGCCUAAUGAUUCUGAUUUGAAAGCAAGCCCGGUGGAGGAGGACAUGAAGAAAGAGCAGCCAACGCGCACUGACAACGCUCUCAGAACAGCGGUGAAGAGGAUGAAUAUACAGCAAAAAGCGAACCAUAGACUCUCCUGUCAUCUUAUUCAUUUUCAGACAGACAUUCUCAACAAAAAGUCAAACGAGUUGUGCCUAAGGGAGAUUUUGAAGGACGUCAAGGCACGCACGAAACGUGCCAGAAACGCCCGACCAGCUCUGGUUGGAUUAAUACGCGCCAGACAGGAGAACGCAGAGGCGAUUCAAUGUGCACAAAUCCUGGAGCGGUCUGAUCCGCUCUGUGUUCCAUAAACAUUCACCUGAGACUGUGUGGGUUGGCUGUUUCCUCCCGAAUACAGAAGCUACAAUAAACAUCAUCAAGAAAAACAUCUGCAAAGUUAUACACUCAUCUCAAACAGCAGAUAAUACCAGGGAUAGAGGGAAGCAGCUUUUCUGGCCAUUCCAAUGUUUGCCCUGGCCUCAGAGAGGAGGAGCUAGAGGCCAGCCCGACAACUCUUCAACCAGCAGUCGAAGAGGUGAAGCUGGGAGUUUAGAGGAUGCAUCCCUCUGAAAACUGUCUCCUUGCCUGCUGGACCUCCUGCGAAAGGAGAAUCAACUGGAGAAGACAGCUGAUGUUUGACCUCAUGACUUGUGGCUGCAGACAUAUCCCUGCUGACAAACCUGUGAUAACUGUGAAAAGAGGAGCCUUAAUAAAUGUUACAAUGUUCUUUAUGGUGCUCUCUAUUUUCCCCUGCUGAGCCAACAUGACUUGUGUCUUGAGGGAAUUGUAGUUCAAUUGUCCACGCUGUUCCCAUCUUUCUGCUUCAAAUAACCCUUGAUCAGUUGGUCAAAAUAAGUGUAUCACAAAACUUACAUUAAUUUCUUUUUCCUUUCCUUUCCUCUUUUGUUUAACAAAAGGCGUUGAUACUUUUGUCAUUUUUGUAAAUAUUGGAACUCAGUAUAUGGACAAAAGUGAAAUCUAACAGCAAAAGUGCUCUUUAACAUAAAUCAUAGUCCAGUAAGGGCUGGAUUAGCAGACCCUGAACUCAAGUCACGUGAAGUGGGGUCUUGUUGAUGAUAAGGAACUCAGCAGCUAUUUUCCCCCAGAGCCUUCCAGAGGGAUUACCCAGUUUUUGCUUAUAUGAACAUUCGAAUGUCCUUUUUUUUGUUUAUACUUAUGUGCCUUAGUGAAGUACUGUUGGAAUAGCAUUAUUUGUAUUAAAAUGGAUGACUAUUUUUCACUUCAAAUGUAUUAUGUAGGCUAAAACCUGUACAUGUAAUAUAAAGGUUAAAUAAAACACAAAUUAAGA